rnacentral:rRNA from 1 species
AGUGAACGCUGGCGGUAGGCCUAACACAUGCAAGUCGAACGGCAGCACAGUAAGAGCUUGCUCUUACGGGUGGCGAGUGGCGGACGGGUGAGGAAUACAUCGGAAUCUACUUUUUCGUGGGGGAUAACGUAGGGAAACUUACGCUAAUACCGCAUACGACCUACGGGUGAAAGCAGGGGAUCUUCGUACCUUGCGCGAUUGAAUGAGCCGAUGUCGGAUUAGCUAGUUGGCGGGGUAAAGGCCCACCAAGGCGACGAUCCGUAGCUGGUCUGAGAGGAUGAUCAGCCACACUGGAACUGAGACACGGUCCAGACUACUACGGGAGGCAGCAGUGGGGAAUAUUGGACAAUGGGCGCAAGCCUGAUCCAGCCAUACCGCGUGGGUGAAGAAGGCCUUCGGGUUGUAAAGCCCUUUUGUUGGGAAAGAAAAGCAGCAGGUUAAUACCCCGCUGUUCUGACGGUACCCAAAGAAUAAGCACCGGCUAACUUCGUG